GGGGAUGUAGCUCAGUGGUAGAGCGCG
rnacentral:piRNA from 7 species